rnacentral:rRNA from 1 species
AUUGAACGCUGGCGGCAGGCCUAACACAUGCAAGUCGAGCGGGGGUAGCAAUACCCUAGCGGCGAACGGGUGAGGAAUGCUUGGGAAUCUGCCUCGUAGUGGGGGAUAACGUUCCGAAAGGAACGCUAAUACCGCAUACGUCCUACGGGCGAAAGGGGGGGAUCUUCGGACCUCCCGCUAUGAGAUGAGCCCAAGCGGGAUUAGCUAGUUGGUGAGGUAAAGGCUCACCAAGGCGACGAUCCCUAGCUGGUCUGAGAGGAUGAUCAGCCACACUGGAACUGAGACACGGUCCAGACUCCUACGGGAGGCAGCAGUGGGGAAUAUUGGACAAUGGGCGAAAGCCUGAUCCAGCCAUGCCGCGUGUGUGAAGAGGGCCUUCGGGUUGUAAAGCACUUUAAGCGAGGAGGAAGGUUCGUUACUUAAUACGUAACGGAAUUGACGUUACUCGCAGAAUAAGCACCGGCUAACUCUGUGCCAGCCGCCGCGGUAAAAC